GGUCCCGUAGCUCAGUUGGUUAGAGCAAGACACUCAUAAUGUCGAGGUCAUGGGUUCAAGUCCCUUCGGGACCA
rnacentral:tRNA from 1 species